UGGGUCCUUUCAAUUGGAUGUGAUUUGACAC
rnacentral:piRNA from 1 species